UACGGGGGGGGCAAGCGUUGUUCGGAAUUACUGGGCGUAAAGGGCUCGUAGGUGGCCAACUAAGUCAGACGUGAAAUCCCUCAGCUUAACUGGGGAACUGCGUCUGAUACUGGAUGACUUGAGAUUGGGAGAGGGAUGCGGAAUUCCAAGUGUAGCGGUGAAAUGCGUAGAUAUCUGGAGGAACACCGGUGGCGAAGGCGGCAUCCUGGACCAACACUGACACUGAGGAGCGAAAGCCAGGGGAGCAAACGGG
rnacentral:rRNA from 1 species